GCGAGACCUUCGGGUCUAGCGGCGGACGGGUUAGUAACGCGUGGGAACGUACCCUUCUCUACGGAAUAGCCUUUGGAAACGAAGAGUAAUACCGUAUACGCCCUUUGGGGGAAAGAUUUAUCGGAGAAGGAUCGGCCCGCGUUAGAUUAGAUAGUUGGUGGGGUAAUGGCCUACCAAGUCUACGAUCUAUAGCUGGUUUUAGAGGAUGAUCAGCAACACUGGGACUGAGACACGGCCCAGACUCCUACGGGAGGCAGCAGUGGGGAAUCUUAGACAAUGGGCGCAAGCCUGAUCUAGCCAUGCCGCGUGAGUGAAGAAGGCCUUAGGGUCGUAAAGCUCUUUCGCCAGGGAUGAUAAUGACAGUACCUGGUAAAGAAACCCCGGCUAACUCCGUGCCAGCAGCCGCGGUAAUACGGAGGGGGUUAGCGUUGUUCGGAAUU
rnacentral:rRNA from 1 species